AGCGACUGUAACUUCACAUGAGAUCUGAAAACAUUUAUAAAUCUGCAUUAAUUCUUCCAUUAGCUGUAAUGUGUUAACUUCACCGGCGUUUUUAACGUGUUUUGCUGUUGUUCUGUUGGUGUUGCGCUCUCCCGAGUAAGCCAACAAGAAGCUGGUGAACUUUGUCACAAUGCAACGUCUUUUGACGAGAGUCAUAAACAGAGUUUUGCUGAGUGGGCCUUUCACACCAGCGAUGGGCUCUGAAGCAGAGAUACACACACAGGGCCGACGAAGGCUGGUAAGUGUUUCACCAAACAUCAUGAACAUUGUGUCCACUACACUGUAGCUGCACGAAUAGCUGCUCAGCUUUGACUAACAUGGGUUUACUCAAACG